rnacentral:rRNA from 1 species
UACAGAGGGUGCAAGCGUUGUUCGGAAUUAUUGGGCGUAAAGCGCGUGUAGGCGGCUUUGCAAGUCCCCUGUGAAAGCCCCCGGCUUAACCGGGGAACUGCAUGGGAUACUGUUGGGCUAGAGUGCAGGAGGGGAGAGCGGAAUUCCUGGUGUAGCGGUGGAAAUGACGCAGAUAUCAGGAGGAACACCGGUGGCGAAGGCGGUUCUCUGGGCAUUACCUGACGCUGAGGAGCGAAAGUGUGGGGAGCGAACAGG